CAAAUAUUCCCACUACAUCCUCAUCUAAUGCUCAUCAAACAACAAAUGUAUUACAAGUUAAUACACCUAUGAAUGCUUACAUAGCACGUUCAGCCUUUGUCAAUCAUACCCCACUUGUUCAGCCUCCGGACUCCACAAAAGUGUCAACUGGAGGUUUAUCCACCGCUGUCCAAGUUUAUAAAUCCACAAAAGUGUCCACUGGAGGAACAUACAGCAUUUCUGACACUGGAGGAACAUCCAAUGUUCAGCAAACCACCAAG